rnacentral:rRNA from 1 species
GUGAGUGGCAACGGGGUGAGUAACACGUGAGUAACCUGCCCCUCUUCUGGAUAACCGCAUGAAAGUGUGGCUAAUACGGGGAUAUUCUGCGCCUGCUGCAUGUGGGUGUGGGAAAGAUAUGUUUCGUGGGGGAUGGGCUCGCGGCCUAUCAGCUUGUUGUGGGGUGAUGGCCUACCAAGGCCGGUGACCGGGUAGCCGGCCUGAGAGGUCGACGGUCACACUGGGACUGAGACACGGCCCAGACUCUACGGGAGGCAGCAGUGGGAAUAUUGCACAAUGGGCGCAAGCCUGAUGCAGCGAUGUCCGCGUGAGGGGAUGGAGGCCUCGGGUUCGUGAACCUCUUUCGCCAGUGAAGCAGGCCUGUCCCUUGUGGUAGGGUUGACGGUAGCUGGAUAAGAAGCGCCGGCUAACUACGUGCCAGCAGCCGCGGUAAUACGUAGGGCGCGAGUCGUUGUCCGGAAUUAUUGGGCGUAAAGAGCUCGUAGGCGGCUGGUCGCGUCUGUCGUGAAAUCCGUCGACGUCGGCCG